rnacentral:rRNA from 1 species
GAUGAACGCUGGCGGCGUGCCUAAUACAUGCAAGUCGAGCGAACGGACGAGAAGCUUGCUUCUCUGAUGUUAGCGGCGGACGGGUGAGUAACACGUGGAUAACCUACCUAUAAGACUGGGAUAACUUCGGGAAACCGGAGCUUAUACCGGAUAAUAUUUUGAACCGCAUGGUUCAAAAGUGAAAGACGGUCUUGCUGUCACUACUAGAUGGAUCCGCGCUGCAUUAGCUAGUUGGUAAGGUAACGGCUUACCAAGGCAACGAUGCAUAGCCGACCUGAGAGGGUGAUCGGCCACACUGGAACUGAGACACGGUCCAGACUCCUACGGGAGGCAGCAGUAGGGAAUCUUCCGCAAUGGGCGAAAGCCUGACGGAACAGCGCCGCGUGAGUGAUGAAGGUCUUCGGAGCGUAAAACUCUGUUAUUAGGGAAGAACAUAUGUGUAAGUAACUGUGCACAUCUUGACGGUACCUAAUCAGAAAGCCACGGCUAACUACGUG